AACGAACGCUGGCGGCAGGCUUAACACAUGCAAGUCGAACGCAUCCUUCGGGGUGAGUGGCAGACGGGUGAGUAACGGUGGGAACGUGCCCUUCAGUUCGGGGUAAACCAGGGGAAACUGGGCUAAAACCGGGUACGGGCGGAGGCAGGAAGAUUUAUCGCUGAAGGAUCGGCCCGCGUCUGAUUAGCUAGUUGGUGGGGUAAUGGCCCACCAAGGCGACGAUCAGUAGCUGGUCUGAGAGGAUGAUCAGCCACAUUGGGACUGAGACACGGCCCAAACUCCUACGGGAGGCAGCAGUGGGGAAUAUUGGACAAUGGGCGCAAGCCUGAUCCAGCCAUGCCGCGUGAGUGAUGAAGGCCUUAGGGUUGUAAAGCUCUUUCGUCCGGGACGAUAAUGACGGUACCGGAAGAAGAAGCCCCGGCUAACUUCGUGCCAGCCGCCGCGGUAA
rnacentral:rRNA from 1 species